GUACGGGAGGCAGCAGAGGAGGAUCAUUCGCAAUGGGCGAAAGCCUGACGGUGCGACGCCGCGUGAGGGAUGAAGGCCUUCGGGUUGUAAACCUCUGUCAGGAGUUACGAAAAGCGAGGUUGCUAACAACAGCUUCGUCUGACUAAGGCUCCAAAGGAAGCGCCGGCUAACUACGUGCCAGCAGCCGCGGUAAUACGUAGGGCGCAAGCGUUACUCGGAAUCACUGGGCAUAAAGGGCGUGUAGGCGGACUCGUAAGUCGGAUGUAAAAUCCCUCGGCUCAACCGAGGAAGGCCAUCCGAUACUGCGUGUCUUGAGUGUGGAAGGGGAGAAUGGAACUCUUGGUGGAGCGGUGAAAUGCGUAGAUAUCAAGAGGAACGCCGGUGGCGAAAGCGGUUCUCUGGUCCAUUACUGACGCUGAGGCGCGAAAGCUAGGGGAGCAAACGGGAUUAGAUACCCCGGU
rnacentral:rRNA from 1 species